AAAUGUGAUUGAUACCAUUUUUAAAUACAUGAUUUAUUAUAGUGUACACUAACAACAAUAUUAUAGAAUGCAUUCUGACAAUGGUGCCAAAGUUUGCUGCGUAGUUGAAAUAAAACAAAUUCAUUCAUAUCCUAUAAAUUCUUAACUAGCUACACUCACAUUAAGUCUUAUCCUAAAAUUCCAUUGACAAGCAACACCGACUCUAUAUCUACAGUAGAUCCCUGAAAGUGACUUUGAUGCAUUGCUUGAAUGGCAACCUGAAAAAAUCGAAGAUACAAAAUGCAGUCAGCAAUGACCAUAAUUUAUGACAUGAAGAAUUACUGAGAAUUCAUCUAUAUUCUAAUAAAAAAAUCAAACAUAUAUAUUGUACAACGACACGUAUUACUAAAUACGUAAAAUAUUAACUUGACAACAAAACCAUAGAAAAUAGGUAAAUACUUACUUGGUCACAAACCCAUAAAACCACUACAUCGAAUCAUCAAAUCUUGAUCAUUCUCAUAAAUUAUGUUACUUUCUACAAGCAAGUCAGACUAAACUGUGUAUCUGCAAUAGAAAAGCAAAGCAACUCAACGAUGUACCAUGUAUGUUUGCAAAAGACUAGCAUAUAACACACUGUAGAUGAAACAUAAAAGAUAACAAGUAUUUUAACCAUGGUUAAAACUGAACUCCAACAAACAAACUGAUACUGACCCAAUCAGCAGUAAAUUUCAAUUAUAAGAAAUAAAAAAUGCUAUAUCUAAAGACUUCCUUGCUAUCAGUCAACUAAAUUUGGUAUACUCGAACUUAUGUUCACAACAUUAAAAAAAUCACCAUUGAAACGUAAAAUGAAGGGAGUUUCUUGAAUAAAAUUCAAGCAACAUUUUUUGUCUACAGGACUACUCUUCUCAUGCCUGAACCAUGAAUAACAACAGUAGACCCAUAAUUCAUAAUUAAACUUCAGAAAAAAAAAAAUAUAAGUGAGGAUAAAACAAUGCAAUGCACAUAAAUUUCUGCUUGCUUGCAAUAUUUAAGUAGUUUGAGAACAUUUAACCUGAUUGUUGACGACGUCAACAAUUUAUUUCUUCAUUUCUAUUGAAAAUUUCAAAACACAACUAGUCUUUACAGGUCCAGAGAUACAUAACUGAUGUAAUGAAGAAUAAAACAAUAAAACAAAAAACAAAAACAAUAGAAUAUGCAAAGCCUUGAAAAAAGGAAAUGAAUUAGUUGAAUAACCAAGCCACAUUAAACAAAUAAUAAAAAAAAUAAAAAAUCAAUCAGAUAUUUCGCCGAUUCAUAGAUAAAAUGUUCGUGUCUAUGUAUAUAUUUAUUCAUACUGCUAUAUAAAAUUUAAACAUGCAUAAAUAGACAUAAGAAUCAUACAUAGACCUUGGACUGGGUAUUAGAUGAUAAUCCUAAUGAUAUUCACCGGUCUUCACCAUUCUGAUCCAAGACAUAAAAAGAAAUGCCCAAAAAUUCAAUCACAUGCUUCUCAAUCAAGACACAUUAAGCAUAAAACAGAGUUCUACAAUAAAAGAUGCGUCCAAGAAAUAGUUUUUACCAGGCACGAGCUGCAAGCACAAAACUUUUGCUCCGAUUAAACGUCUCAGCUGCAAGAAUUGCCUAUAUAAACAAAUGGUAAACAAAAGAAUUGGAAAAUCCAGUAAGUUUGCUAUUAUUUACUCUGCGUUAAGUACUUAUUAAUGAAAUGUUUUAUUAAUAAGUGAAAAUUAGAAAAAUCAAAAUGGAAAAUAACAAUUCUAAAAAUGAUAUACCAAUGUAGUAAGAAACUUGAGAUAAUCCAGAAAAAUGAAUACCAAAAUGCAGAAGUCUUGGAAAUCAACUUUAUAAUUGCCAAACAACUGCAACAAUAUAGAUUAUUGAAAGAAAAAAAAAAACACAAAAUUCUUGGGAAUCAACUUUACGACAGAGGGUGAGUCUUCAAUUAAAAUACGCCGAGAAAGAAGAAAACCCCAAAAUUUAAGUAUAUAUUAAAAUCAUGAGAUAAAAUUUACAAAGUGAACAAUGUAUUUAAAAUUACCUUCGACCUAAUGUUUACUCCUAGAGCAGACCCAAUUCCACUGAAGGGCGAUUGGCAAAACAAUUCACGGGUAUCAAAAGAUUAGAGAGAAAACAACUGGUGGCGGUUGGCAAAAAAACCAUGCCUUUAAAAUCAAGGGAAGGAGACGAGAAAAAGUGUAAA
rnacentral:lncRNA from 1 species